AAUAUUAUGAUGACGUUAAUGCACUUGGUUAACGAAGUGCAAACUACUACCUAGGCAUGGAUAGGAAGGGCACUGGAGUGAAAGGAAAGGAAAGUAUUUCUUACAUGUGAGGCGUUAUCUGUUAAUACACUUGGGUUCCUUACAACCACCAAAUAACUAAAACAAGCGCCCAC